UAAUGCAUCGGAACAUGUCCAUUCGUGGGGGAUAGCCCGGCGAAAGCCGGAUUAAUACCGCAUACGCCCCGAGGGGGAAAGCGGGGGACUUCGCAAGAGGCCUCGCGCGAAUGGGUUGGCCGAUGUCCGAUUAGCUAGUUGGUGAGGUAAAGGCUCACCAAGGCGAUGAUCGGUAGCUGGUCUGAGAGGAUGAUCAGCCACACUGGGACUGAGACACGGCCCAG
rnacentral:rRNA from 1 species